AUACGUAGGGGGCGAGCGUUGUCCGGAAUGAUUGGGCGUAAAGGGCGCGUAGGCGGCCCGGUAAGUCUGGAGUGAAAGUCCUGUUUUUAAGAUGGGAAUUGCUUUGGAUACUGUCGGGCUUGAGUGCAGGAGAGGUAGUGGAAUUCCCAGGGUAGCGGUGAAAUGCGUAGAGAUUGGGAGGAACACCAGUGGCGAAGGCGACUUACUGGACUGUAACUGACGCUGAGGCGCGAAAGUGUGGGGAGCAAACAGGAUUAGAUACCCUGGUAGUCCACACUGUAAACGAUGAAUGCUAGGUGUAGGGGGUAUCGACCCCUUCUGUGCCGCAGUCAACACAAUAAGCAUUCCGCCUGGGCAGUACGGCCGCAAGGUUGAAACUCAAAUGAAUUGACGGGG
rnacentral:rRNA from 1 species